GAGGGUAUAGCUCAAAUGGUAGAGUGCAUGCUUGGUAUGCAUGAGGACCUGGGUUCAAUCCCCAGUGCCUCCU
rnacentral:tRNA from 1 species